rnacentral:rRNA from 1 species
UAUAAGGAAUUUAUCUGAGAUUAAUAGGUAGAAUUUUAAUUUUUGACAAAGACAUCAACAAGAAACAUAAAAAUUAUAUUAUGGACCAGGAUUAGAUACCCUGUUACUUAUAAAUAUAAAAUUUUGGAAUAGUAUAAAUAAUGAAAUUUAACGGAUUUGGCGGCAAGAUAGCCAUUUAGAGGAACCUGCCCUAUAAACGAUGAACCACGAAAAACUCUACUUUUAUUUGUAACCAGUUUGUAUACCGCUGUUGUCAGUCAGUUUCUUCAGAAAACUUUCUUUAUGAGAAAAUCAUUUACUUCAAGUAAAGGUGCAGCUUAUAUAAAAGAUAGAGGUGGGUUACAAUUUUUAGAUUAAUACGAAUAAAGUUUUUGAAAUAACUUUUGAAGGUGGAUUUAAUUGUAAAGUUUAUAAAAACUUGAUGAGAGCUCUAUCUUGUGUACACACCGCCCGUCGCUCUCUUUAUUAAAC